rnacentral:piRNA from 1 species
CAAAGCUACACAGAGAAACCCUGUCUUA